rnacentral:rRNA from 1 species
AGAGUGAACGCUGGCGGUAGGCCUAACACAUGCAAGUCGAACGGCAGCACAGUAGGAGCUUGCUCUUACGGGUGGCGAGUGGCGGACGGGUGAGGAAUACAUCGGAAUCUACCUUUUGGUGGGGGAUAACGUAGGGAAACUUACGCUAAUACCGCAUACGCCCUUCGGGGGAAAGCCGGGGACCAGCAAUGGCCUGGUGCUGAUAGAUGAGCCGAUGUCGGAUUAGCUAGUUGGUGAGGUAAUGGCUCACCAAGGCGACGAUCCGUAGCUGGUCUGAGAGGAUGAUCAGCCACACUGGAACUGAGACACGGUCCAGACUCCUACGGGAGGCAGCAGUGGGGAAUAUUGGACAAGUGGGCGAAAGCCUGAUCCAGCCAUGCCGCGUGUGUGAAGAAGGUCUUCGGAUUGUAAAGCUAACUUUAAGUUGGGAGGAAGGCAGUUAACCUAAGUACGUUAGUGUUUGACGUUACGACAGAAUAAGCAACCGGCUAACU